ensembl:ncRNA T27D12.7 ncRNA
UGGUCGUUUGAAGUUCGUCGAUGAUUUUGUGACGUUGUCUGUCAGUUGAAAGACCGAAGUUGA